CGCCAGGAAGGAGGAGGCAGCCAGAGUGGCCACCACUGGUCUCUGCAGCAGAAGACCCCUUGCUGCCAGAAGUCAUCAAAACAAUGCUGCAUCAUCGCACCAGAGCUACCAGACUGGAACUGGUUGUUAAGUCUUCUUUGACUGAUAUUUUAACAUCUAAGAUACUGCUUACCCCACAGUCAAAGCAGUUGAAAGAAGAAUGAAAGUAAAGGCGUGGGCCCAUUCCAUACAUCUUCAAGGACAUCUCUAGCAGGAAGAGCCCCAGAAAUAUAAACUCUGCAUAGUCUGAAACAGAGAAAUCCAGGCAUUAGCUCAAUCUCUGCUUCCCCAAAUCCAUUAUUGGAACAAAACUUUAUAAUAAUAUGUGAUACACCCACACUGAGCUGCUUCAUGCUGUCAAACGUCUUCACAUGAUUGUGUAUGCAAGCAUACAGUGUAGUGAAGAAAGGCUAGUGUGAAUCAGGAUGUACAGGCAGGGAACUGGUCGCCACCUUCAUGACUGCAGGUUCUGGAAAAAAUGUGGCAGUGAUCACAGAAAUGGCUGCCCUGGGCAGCUACUCUGCAUGGACUGCCUAGCUUACUUUAGUCCAUCUCGCAUUUAAAGAGGGUGCUGUAGUGUUGUGCCUGGACGAUUUAGAGAGGGAGCCUGUCAGUUGCCACACUAUUGGUGGUCUCGUCUGCAGGGCUGAAAACCAGAAUUUCUCCAGAUUAAGCUUGUCAAAAUAAUGUUGACCAGGGACACCAGAAAACCUUUUAGUGACUUCCGCAGCUGCUGUUGAGUACCUCAUACUAAGCAAUGAUACUACUGACUGUUCUGGAUAACUUUAAUAUGGAGGGAUUUAAACAACAGAUUAAAUUGUUAUCCAGUCUUUUACCACCAGCUUGAAUAUAGAGAGCAAGGACAUGUCCACACUGCAGCUAAUUUUCCUUGCCCCCUCCUUUUAAGUUUGCUCUUUAAAAAAUUGUUUGCAUAACAACAUGAACAAAAUCAAGUCCAUUACACGACCACAGUAUUAUAUCAGCUUGGAGCAACUGAACUCUCUAAAUGGAGGCACAUCUGUGCAAAGGAAUUCAAGUCAACAACAUCACACCUAUUUCUGCCUGAAACAAUGUGGACAUAACUGGAGCAUUAUAGUGAAGAUGCUGAAAAUUAUAUACACAAUGGAAUUAGCACUAGCCUACAGUCCCAUGUGUGGACAUGGCUCAAGUCUAACAUUUUUUAAUUAGUGAGGAGGAUUUGAGGAUCUUGGAUAAUCCUAAGUGUCAUGGUUUGGUAUUGUCAAUGAAAUUAGCAUAGUUGAUGCUGCCAAACUGAUUAUUUUAAAAAAUACCUUAUUGAGCAUUUGUACUGCUCAGUGCUCUUAUAUUCUCCUGGCUACUGCUUCUUUUUGACAUUAUUUUUGCCCACAUUAUUUUGUUUACUGGCGCCCUGAUGCCAUCACACCUGAUGAAGCAUUUUGACAUCAAUAAAAUUAUGCGAGUGGCUGUAGCCAUUCAGAUUAUACAACAGUGAAAGCAACUGAAGCUGAGGGAAGUGAGGGCGAAGAAGGAGAAAAACGACGCAGAGAAGGAGCAGCAGCUAAGGGAACAGAAGGCCACUAGACAGCAUCAAAGCAACAUAAAUUCAUUUACAAUGUGUGCUGGAAAAAACGACUGAAAACAGGAGGUCCUCUUUGACAUUCAUUACUGAGCUGAGACAGAAACUUGUUCUCAUCUCAUGCCACCCUUAACCAAUACAACGUCAUUGACUUCACUGGAGUAUAUUUCUGAUUUGGACCUGCAUAAUAACAGGAUCAGGUUCAACAAUCAGCAAGAGACUGGCUGGGAGUAGUUCCCCCCAGCUUUUUCCCCCUGGAGAAAAAAACCAAGCCAUAUGGACAUAUUUCUUGGAAGCAACAUCUCUUUGCUUACACUUACAGUUGGCUCUGGGCCAGCCUUGUUCUGUUCUCUGACGCUGCUGCAAUACCAGUGCACAAACAACACAGAGCUCCAUCACUUACAGAGGAGGUGAGUGAGCCACGGAGGUUGGUUGUGAUGGACGA